GAUGAACGCUGGCGGCGUGCCUAAUACAUGCAAGUCGAGCGAACAGACGAGGAGUUUGCUCCUUUGACGUUAGCGGAGGACGGGUGAGUAACACGUGGAUACCCUCCCUAUAAGACUGGGAUAACUUCGGGAAACCGGCGCUAAUACCGGAUAAUAUAUUGAUGCGUAUGGUUCAAUAGUGAGAGUCGGUUUUGCUGUCACUUCUAGAUGGAUCCGCGCCGCAUUGGCUAGUUGGCAAGGUAACGGCUUACCAAGGCAACGAUGCGUAGCCGAGCUGAGAGAGUGAUCGGCCACACGGGAGCUGAGACACGGUCCAUACUCCUACGAGAGGCAGCAGUAGGGAAUCUGCCGCAAUGGGCGAAAGCCUGACGGAGCAGCGCCACGUGAGUGAUGAAGAUCUUCGGAUCGUAAAACUCUGUUAUUAGUGGAGAACAAAUGUGUAAGUAACUGUGCACGUCUUGACGGUACCUAGUCAGAAAGCCACGGCUAACUACGUG
rnacentral:rRNA from 1 species